CUUUAUAUUACAAGUCAGGGGCCUCGAGGGCUCGAAUACACAAGAGUCAACAGAAGCAACAUUAUCUGAGUACAGACAUGAGUUAAACAAGUUUGCCUUAAGAAGGCUAGCACAAAAGCAACAUCGAUCGAAAAGGCAAGGCCUCCUGCCUGGGAGCCUCCUAACUACUCCAAGUCGUCAGCGGUCGUCACGUAGUAGUAGGCACCCUCAGGGUAGCAGUAGUCAUCAGUGGUGUCGUCUGGCUCCUGGGAUCCGUCAUCUGGUCGCAAUAAUCAGGUAUGGGGAAAAGAGAUAGCAAAGCAGACGUGAGUACUCAUCCAAAGUACUCGCUAACCAUCCUAUACUAAGAAGUUUAGGAUAAGCAGGUAAGGUAUGAAAGCAGGUAACAACAACAGGCUAUGCAUCAGAGUAGGAUCAUACAGAAAGCAGUAGCAGUUCUAAUACAAGCAUGAGAGGGAAAGAAAUGGGCGAUAUCUGAAUGCUCAAGGGGGUUUGCUUGCCUGAUUGCUCUGGCAAGGAGGGGUCGUCGUUGACGUAGUCGAUCACAAGGGCAGCAUCGGUCUCGGGGUCUACCGGAGAGAAGAGGGGGAAGAAACAGUAAAUAUAAAGCAAACAUAGCACCAAAACGCAUAACAUGGCAAUAAGAUGUGCCGGGUGUGACCUAACGCGGUAGGUGGUGAUACCGGCGAAAGGGGGGAACAUCCGGGUAAGUAUCCCCGGUGUUUCGCGUUUUCGGACAGAUGAAUCGGAGGGGAAAAAUUGUGUGUUCGCUAUGCUAGGGAUGCGUGGCGGACGAACAGGCUGCGUAUCCGGGUUCUUGUCAUUGUCCUGAGCAAUUUUCAUGUACAAAGUUUUUCCAUCCGAGCUACGGUUUAUUUUAUAAUGAUUUUUCAAAGUUUAAUUGAAUUCUUGGGAUUAUUAUAUUUAGCUUAAACCGAAUUGACUAAUUUAAUUUUGACUAGUCAAAGGGCAGGUGUGGCCCACAUGUCAUAGACUAUUUACCUAUACAAUUAAACAAAUCUAACUUAUUUAAAAGGGCCUACAUGUUAUCUACUACUAGACUAACUUAACACUAAUUAAACCUAGUAGUACUAAUCUAAGCCAGGGCCGGCCACUAAUGGGCAUAACCCAACCGGCCACACACAUGAUGCACACAUACACACACAGGAGCACACGGCCAUGGCCAACUGCACGCACACACACUAUGCAGAACACACACUCACCCACACAUAGUUUUGUUUUUUCUGCUAACAAAAGAUAGCAUUUUGUGAUUUUCAUCGAAUUUAAUCUAUGCACUAAAUGGAUUUGGUCCAAUGGAAACAUUUGAGCAUUGUCAAGUGUAUUACCUCCUCAUAAUUUUUUUAGUCUUGAUAGUAGUUGCUUAGCCUGAAUUUAGGGGCUGCCAAAGGGUUAGUCAGUGUAAAAUUUGAAAAGCUAGCUAGCACUAGCUACAGUACUAGCAAUAGGCCAUCAGUACAACGGCAACAGAGUAGCGUUGACGCGUGCUUGCAGGCGUAGGCGACUGCGGGCAGGCGCGGGACGGGUGCGGGCACGCGCACGUGGGCGUGCGCGGGGACGCGGCCAGGCGAGCAGCCGCCAGCGACGGCAGCAAGCAGUAUGCGUAGCAGCCUUAGCAGAAGCAGCGAAGCAGAGCAGCAGGCGAGCGCAGCAACAAGCGGCAGUAGGAACAGAGCAGAGCAGCGGCGGUCGCGGGCAGGCAGCUGCGGCAGCAGGCAAGCACGCGUCGAGGCACGGCCGGGCGCAGCAAGCCACCGGGGCGCGGGCGGCAGCAGGUGAGCCGGCAAGGCAUGGCGCGCGGGGCCUGGCCGGCGGGGGUGGCGCAGGCAGGGGGCCAAGGCGGAGCCGCGAGAGCGCGUGCGCCGACAGGCGACAGCACGGCGCAGGCGGGCAUGGCGGGUAGCCGCGGCGGAGGGGGCGCGGUGGCCGGAGGCGUGGGGCAUGGACAGCGCUAGCGGCAGCACAACAACAGAAGUAGUACACAUGCAACAACAGCGGUAGUAGCAGUACGCACACACGCGUACGCGGGGUUCGAACACGACGGGGUCAGCAGGCUACGGCGACGGGAUGGGAAGAAGAGGAGGAAAACGGAGGAGGGGCUCACCCAGAGCUGUAGGGAGGUGGCAGCGNNN
rnacentral:lncRNA from 1 species